CUUGCCUACGGGACGCAGCAGUGGGGAAUAUUGCACAAUGGGGGAAACCCUGAUGCAGCGACGCCGCGUGAGCGAAGAAGUAUUUCGGUAUGUAAAGCUCUAUCAGCAGGGAAGAAAAAAAUGACGGUACCUGAGUAAGAAGCACCGGCUAAAUACGUGCCAGCAGCCGCGGUAAUACGUAUGGUGCAAGCGUUAUCCGGAUUUACUGGGUGUAAAGGGAGCGUAGGCGGCGCGUUAAGUCUGAUGUGAAAACCCGAGGCUCAACCCCCGGACUGCUCUGGAAACUGCCAGGCUGGAGUGCAGGA
rnacentral:rRNA from 1 species